rnacentral:rRNA from 1 species
UACGGGGGGGGCAAGCGUUGUUCGGAAUUACUGGGCGUAAAGGGCUCGUAGGUGGCCAACUAAGUCAGACGUGAAAUCCCUCGGCUUAACCGGGGAACUGCGUCUGAUACUGGAUGGCUAGAGAUUGGGAGAGGGAUGCGGAAUUCCAGGUGUAGCGGUGAAAUGCGUAGAUAUCUGGAGGAACACCGGUGGCGAAGGCGGCAUCCUGGACCAACACUGACACUGAGGAGCGAAAGCCAGGGGAGCAAACGGG